rnacentral:rRNA from 1 species
UACGAAGGGGGCAAGCGUUGUUCGGAAUUACUGGGCGUAAAGGGCGCGUAGGCGGCUUAUCAAGUCAGGCGUGAAAUUCCCGGGCUCAACCCGGGAACUGCGUCCGAUACUGUCGAGCUAGAGUGUGGAAGGGGCGAUUGGAAUUCCGUGUGUAGCGGUGAAAUGCGUAGAUAUACGGAGGAACACCAGAGGCGAAGGCGGAUCGCUGGGCCAACACUGACGCUGAUGUGCGAAAGCUAGGGGAGCAAACGGG